rnacentral:lncRNA from 1 species
AGGCGGGGCUGAGGCCCGCAGAGCUGCCUGGUGCCGCUGCCUUCUUUUGUCUCUACCCAUAUGUUGGGCACACAGUGGUACAGCCAGGGACGGCCGGCGGGGUGGGGGGGGAAAUGCCGGUGCCUCUCGCACAUGCGCCGACGGGUCCCUGACGCGGAAGUCUGUUGGAGGGAGCGGGUCCCGGGGCCGAGCCGGGCCCGUCCCGGGCUGCCGCUCCCGCUGUGCCGGGACCUGCUUCGCCGAGGAGGGCUAUUCAAUAUCUUUCACUUGUCCUGGUUGCUGCCAGCGCAGUGUGCCGGGGCCAGGCCGGUUGUGCGCGCUCGGGAGCUCUCCCUGGAGGCCGGGCGGCUCUGGGGGGCUCCGGUGCGGUGCAGGCUUGUAGAUGUUCGUCCUCGGUUCCCUCAGUGCGAACAAAAGCCGUGUACGUGUUUGACGUACUCAGGGUUCUCCUGGCCUGCGGUGAACACCAGCAGCUGCGUGAGGACGCGAGGCUGUGGGCUGGCCGCAGCCGGGAGAAGGCAGGCCGCGCCGGCCCCGUUCUCUGGGACCUGCAAGAGGUGGGGAGUCACACCUCCAGAGAGCCCCAGGAGUUUCACACUCUGCCUGUCACAUCAAGUUGAUGGCAAGAUACAAGCAGGAAAAGUUGGAGGAGGUGGGGGCCCUGACCAGCUUAGUGCUCCCCAGGCCAGAACAGGCCUUGAAUAGAUACUGAAGAGGAGGCAAAUUGGUGAGGGGCUGCUGGAGAAUCCUGUCCUGCCUCUUGAAGUAACAUACCUGGGGCAGUGUGCUCUACUCUCCUCUCCCUGGGCUGAAAACACUGAGAUCUGAAGGAGUCUUCACCCGAAGGGCAGAACUGCUGCUGCAGUUUGGAGGAGCUGGAGUAUUUGCCCAAGAGUGAGGAAAUAGUGCUUGUUGAAGGUAAGGAGAAUGCUGAGGCUUUGAAUUUUCCUUAGAAACUCAGCAGGGGAUUUCUGUACCCCCCUCUGUCAAGCUGCAAAGUAUUUCACUCUAGCAGACUACUGCUAAAGCCCGGAUGCCACAUUUUGUUUCAGUCAGUUGAGAAAUUUGAGGAGAACCUAGACAGCAAAGAAACAGACAAGAAAUCCAAGCAGCAAGCCAUGAAAUGAUGGUUUCCAGGGGACCAAGGGAGUUAGAACUCACAGUCUGGAAGUGAAGCAUUAUUUAGGGAGAUGCUUCUGACAAG